rnacentral:rRNA from 1 species
ACGAACGCUGGCGGCGUGCUUAACCCCUGCAAGUCGCACGGAAAGGCCCUGCUUUUGUGGGGUGCUCGAGUGGCGAACGGGUGAGUAACACGUGAGUAACCUGCCCUUGACUUUGGGAUAACUUCAGGAAACUGGGGCUAAUACCGGAUAGGAGCUCCUGCUGCAUGGUGGGGGUUGGAAAGUUUCGGCGGUUGGGGAUGGACUCGCGGCUUAUCAGCUUGUUGGUGGGGUAGUGGCUUACCAAGGCUUUGUCGGGUAGCCGGCCUGAGAGGGUGACCGGCCACAUUGGGACUGAGAUACGGCCCAGACUCCUACGGGAGGCAGCAGUGGGGAAUAUUGCACAAUGGGCGGAAGCCUGAUGCAGCAACGCCGCGUGCGGGAUGACGGCCUUCGGGUUGUAAACCGCUUUCGCCUGUGACGAAGCGUGAGUGACGGUAAUGGGUAAAGAAGCACCGGCUAACUACGUG